CUUUUGAUGGCGACCGGCGCACGGGUGAGUAACACGUAUCCAACCUGCCUCAUACUCGGGGAUAGCCUUUCGAAAGAAAGAUUAAUACCCGAUGUCAUAGUCCUACCGCAUGAUGGGAUUAUUAAAGAAUUUCGGUAUGGGAUGGGGAUGCGUUCCAUUAGUUAGUUGGCGGGUAACGGCCCACCAAGACAACGAUGGAUAGGGGUUCUGAGAGGAAGGUCCCCCACAUUGGAACUGAGACACGGUCCAAACUCCUACGGGAGGCAGCAG
rnacentral:rRNA from 1 species